rnacentral:lncRNA from 1 species
AUAUCAAAAAUUCGUAAGGGUUCCACGGAACCCAGUGUCUCGCCUACUUUUGCUGUUAAUCGCAGACUCAACAAAAUGAGGAAAAACAUCAAUAAAAAUUUCCCUCUCGAUACUGUCUUUUGAUUGAAAGAAGCUUCCAAGUUUGGUAAAAAAUCCAGGAUAGUUUAUGAAUCUAAUAAAUGUUGUAUAAACUUUAACUGCAGACUGUAUGUAAUGUUAACUGGAAGAAAA